rnacentral:misc_RNA from 1 species
AGUGAGGUAAAUAAAACUUACUGAUAGUUUCACACACUACAGGUGGACAAUCGGUAUAGAUUUAUGGAGUGAACUUUUACAAUAUCGAUCACACACCAUUACAAGUGACCUAGCGCGCCUCUAUCAGAAAUAUUUGACCUUUUGUGUUGACCUUUGCUGUGAUUUGUAAACAAUAAAUGUUCGGACUGUAAUCGAAUCGUUGAUAAAAGUCGGGUAGACUUGAAACGUUGCAUGGAUCUGAGGGUGGAGUGAUAUUUAUCUGUGACGGCGUUUAUUAUAUUCAGGGCUCUGUGUUGUUAAAAUUCUUGGUGUUUGUAGAUUCUUUUUACUGAAGUCGGAAUCUUAGGAGGCUAUUGUAACCCUCCCAUUUAAAUGUCACUGGAGCCUGUAUCUGAUGGCAAAGAAAAAAGUCACUUUAAUGUGUGGGAACAAAACAAAAACUGUACAUCUGUUUGUGCUGAGUCUUUAGUUUUUACUUGUGUACUAGUCUGAUGUUCACCGGUAGUUGAUGAGGCAAGUCAAUUCAUCAUGUCAACGUGAGGAGGACUUGUUAGAGAUGUGACAAUCUCACAAUGAGGAUGAAUGAGAAGCAAAACUUGUGGUCUUUCUGUUGUUUUGUAUAGAUAUAUGAAUUAUGGACUCUGUGUUAAAACAAUGUUUUCAGAAUAUUAGCGAUUGUUUUUUGGAUAACAGCAAUUGUGAAUCAGUAUUGAACAGUGGCAAAUUAAUACAAUGACUGCCAACUCAUCAAAGGAGCUCCCGUUUGUGGUAAGAUAGCAAGAUUUUGAAAAAUGUCACUGACUCUAGCUGACGGUGAAUUCAGGGAUCAAAAAAUCUUAAUAUAUUUGUUGUGUUUUAGUACUAUAGGUCUAUUCAUAAAUUUUUAUUUUGUGUACUAUUCUUAGCUGAAUUUUAGUAUUUAUAUAAUUAUAUAUUUAGAUGUACGAGUUGAUACUGCUAGGAUUUGUGCUAAAUACUGGUAGUAUAUUAUAAAACCUGGAAGUUAAAACAAUAAAUGAUUUGAUUGAU